AUAAAACAUAAAAUUGUCAACUUUCUUUUUCACAAAUAUAAUAAUAUACCAAAGAAGGAUAAAUGUAAAUACACCUUGAAAUAGUCAAAAGAAGUUUUACUACAGGAACAGGGUUGUGAAACAUUUUGUUUUAUAGUGUUUUAAAGUACUGUAAAUUCAGAAAUUAUUGCCUGCAUGUAUUAUUGCGAUUUUGUCAUUUAAGACUUAAAGUUUAUUUUAAUUUUUAAGAUUUUAAGAAAAAUUAUAAUUCAUAUAAAAGAUUUCAAAAUGCGAGUUUAAAUUAUUGCGUUUGCAACUCUGUUGCAUUUUUCGCAAUAUAAAAUCCUUGCAAUAAUUUCUGAAUUUGCAGUAAUUUAUUAGGCUGUGCAUAAGUCAUAAUAUUUUCUUUGAACAGAACAUCUGAGCCUAUUGAAUUAAACCAAGUUGUGAAUUAUGGUUUAGGUACUUUAUGUACAGUGAUUUGUUUUAUUUAAAUGGAUGACUCUAAUCUAAAUACUCAAUACCAUCCUUUUU
rnacentral:lncRNA from 1 species